rnacentral:rRNA from 1 species
AACGAACGCUGGCGGCAUGCCUAACACAUGCAAGUCGAACGAGACCUUCGGGUCUAGUGGCGCACGGGUGCGUAAAGCGUGGGAAACUGCCCUUAGGUUCGGAAUAACUCCCCGAAAGAGGUGCUAAUACCGGAUAAUGUCAUCGGACAAAAGAUUUAUCGCCAUUGGAUGGGCCCGCGUUGGUUUUGCUAGUUGGUAGGGUAAAAGCCUACCAAGGCGACGAUCCAUAGCUGGGCUGAGAGGAGGCUCAGCCAGGCUGGGACUGAGACACGGCCCAGUCUCGUACGGAGGGGAGCAGUGGGGAAUAUUGGAGAAGGGACGAAAGCGUGAUCCAGCCAUGCCGCGGAAGUGAGGAAGGCCUUAGGGUUGCAAAGCUCGUUUAGCCGGGACGAUAAUGACAGUACCGGGAGAAUAAGCACCGGCUAACUCCGUG